UACACACCGCCCGUCACACCAUGAGAGUUGGUUCUACCUUAAGACGGUGCGCUAACCGCAAGGAGGCAGCCGGCCACGGUAGGGUCAGCGACUGGGGUG
rnacentral:rRNA from 1 species